rnacentral:rRNA from 1 species
AGAGUUUGAUCCUGGCUCAGAUUGAACGCUGGCGGCAUGCCUUACACAUGCAAGUCGAACGCGAAAGGGGGCAACCCCGAGUAGAGUGGCGAACGGGUGAGCAAUACAUCGGAACGUGUCCUGUAGCGGGGGACAACCUCGAGAAAUCGAGGCUAAUACCGCAUACGAUCUACGGAUGAAAGUGGGGGACCGCAAGGCCCCACACUAUAGGAGCGGCCGAUGCCGGAUUAGCUAGUUGGUGGGGUAAUGGCCUACCAAGGCGACGAUCCGUAGCUGGUUUGAGAGAACGACCAGCCACACUGGGACUGAGACACGGCCCAGACUCCUACGGGAGGCAGCAGUGGGGAAUUUUGGACAAUGGGCGAAAGCCUGAUCCAGCCAUGCCGCGUGAGUGAAGAAGGCCUUCGGGUUGUAAAGCUCUUUCGGCGGGGACGAAAUUGCGCGGGGUAACGUCCCGCGUAGAUGACGGUACCCGAAGAAGAAGGACCGGCUAACUACGUGCCAGCAGCCGCGGUAAUACGUAGGGUCCAAGCGUUAAUCGGAAUUACUGGGCGUAAAGCGUGUGCAGGCGGUUUCGAAAGUCCGAUGUGAAAUCCCCGAGCUUAACUUGGGAACUGCGUUGGAAACUACGAGGCUAGAGUGCGGCAGAGGGGGGUGGAAUUCCAGGUGUAGCAGUGAAAUGCGUAGAGAUCUGGAGGAACACCGAUGGCGAAGGCAGCCCCCUGGGUUAGCACUGACGCUGAGACACGAAAGCGUGGGGAGCAAACAGGAUUAGAUACCCUAGUAGUCC